UGACUAACAACCAUAAAUUGAUCUCCUACAUCCUCACUGGCCUCAACUACGAGUAAACCUAGUUGCCACCAUCCUUGUCACAAACGAUGAGCUCACCAUCGACGAGGGGUAUUCGCAUCUGCUUAGCUUUGAGC
rfam:Zea mays cultivar B73 chromosome 5, whole genome shotgun sequence.